rnacentral:lncRNA from 1 species
UCUAGAGAUGUCAACAGGUCGGAUUCGGGGCGGAUUUUUAAAAAUCCGAACCGGAAUCCAACUCCAAACCCGAGACCCAAAUCCGAACCAGAACCCGAACCCAAACCCGAAUCCGACGGAUUUUAAAAAUCCAUAUAAUCCGAACCCGACGAAGAAUCCGAAUCCCGAACCCGAACCCAAACCCGAAAAUUUGAAUCCGAAACAAUUAUUUCUUUUUUCAAUAUUUCAAAAUAUAUUAUAUUAAAUCUAAAUUUUUAAAAUACAAAUUCAAAUAUAACAUCAAAUAUAUAUAUAUAUAUAUAUAUAAUAUAUAUAUAUAUAUAUAUUAUAUAAUACAAAAUAAAUUCAGGUUCGGGUCGGGUACAAUCAAAAUCCAUAUUCAAAUCCAUAUCUGUCCGAUUUUUAUUUUUGAUAUCUAUAUCCGAAUCCAGAUCCAUAUCCAUCAAAUACAUCCGUUUUAUCCGGGUUCGAAUUCGGAUAAAAUUUAGAGUAUCCAUAUUCAUUGACAUUCCUAGUUGCAUCUGCACAU